rnacentral:ncRNA from 1 species
UAGCGCCAGUACCUGUAUGAUGGGAUUGCCGGUGGGUUUUAUUGAUUGUUUAAUGUACGGUUUAUGCGAUAAAACGAAAAUGGACAGAGUAUAUGCAGGUUGACGAGGAGGAAGGUUAUCGAAAUUUCGGCGGAUGCUUUCCCGCACUAUUACCGGGUGCGAUAUGCAGGAUUAAAUAUGAGGGCAACUUCAAAACAGAGGU